CUGCUGUGAUGACCUUCUUAGGACACCUUUGGAUUGAUGAUGAAACUAAUCUGUUAGUCUGAGCAGC